GUCUACGGCCAUACCACGCUGAACACGCCCGAUCUUGUCUGAUCUCUGAAGCUAAGCAGGGUCGGGACCUGCUUAGUACUUGGAUGGGAAAGAAAGACAGACACCUGCAGACC
rnacentral:rRNA from 1 species